rnacentral:lncRNA from 1 species
AGAAUUUUAAGAUUUUUCGCCACUGCUAUGCUUGCCAAAAAAGUGUAUGUAAUUGUGUUCUUAUUUUCCUUUUAUACUGGGUUAGAAUCUUCCUAGGUGGAAAGGAUGAGGCACCGCCCUGUCUGUAGCACCGCUAUAAAAAAGGCAUCGCGGGCAUAUCGCCCUACACCACUGGAAUUUUCUUGUGGAAAUUUGUCUUAGUCCUGGUGGCCCCGUUCUAAAUGAGGCACUGCCGCUUCUUUAGCGCCGCUCCAACUAAGGUUCCGCCCUG